CUUUUCAGUAGAACGGACGGCUUCAGGCCGAAAAUUGUGAGUUUUUCCCACUUUUCUCUAUUCCCAUUUUUUUUUUAAAAAAAACCUUGAUCCACGAAAAUCCAACCGUUCAAUCUUGAAUCCGAGUUCGAAAACGUGAUCUACGAAGCCCGAUCUACGUUUCUACCGAUCGUUUUGAGGUAAAUCGUUACUUCAAAAAUGCAAGUUUAACGAUUUACCUCAAAACGAUCGGUAGAAACGUAGAUCGGGCUUCGUAGAUCACAUUUCCGAAAUUGAAUUCAAGAUUGGACGGUUGGAUUUUCGUAGAUCAAUAUUUUUCCAUAAAAAAUCAUUAAAAAAACAAAAAACUAGAGAAAAGUGGGAGCUUGCAAAGAUUCCACAAAUGCUGAGUAUUGUUUGGGCAAAUUUUUUGUGGCGCAUUGCAGAGGGAUUAUCUAGGAAAUUUAGUGCUUGAGUCCGCGUAGCCAAAACUCUGAUUCUUUGGCUGCAGGUUUAGCGGAUUUAGAGGAUGAUCAUGUAGCUCUGUACUUGGGGUACUGCAACUGAGGCAUUUUGCUGGAGUCGUAGCUAGGUUGGACAUGGAUGUCCUAUUUUCAUAGUCUUUAUAUAUGGCUCAUGUCCUGUGUGAUACAUGUAUUUCGUAGAACCAGUAUUUUGAUAUGUAAUUAGAACUAGUAUUUAGGUAUGUAAUUAGAACUAGUAUUCUGGUAUGUUUUUGAAGCCUUAAAUAGAUAGACUUGUAAAUGGCUCUUAUUGUUGAUUAACAGUUAUGUACUAGAUGUGCUUUCUGCUUUGCAGUUCAUGAUAUUGUUAUUAUGUUAUGUUAUCCGAUGCAUAAAUAUAAUUAUGAUUAUCAUGUA